GAUUUGAGAUGGCCUCUCGCCCUAUUCAGUGUAACAGCUGUGGUAGUGGGUUUGGUCGCUCGCAUUUAAAUUGGAAGGGUAAUGGUGGACCGCACUUCUCCCUUAGUAGGACGUUGCGACCUGUCAAAUAAUAUCCUAAGUAUUUGGCUAAUUUGUCUGUUUUUAGGCAGUACUGAAAGGUAUUUCCUUUAACAGUUUUAGCCGUUUACAUACUGGAUAUAAUUGACAGUAACGAAUCAUGGUGUUGAGCCACUUACUUUGUAAGUGUCCUUUAUGGCUGUUUGCAAGUGGGUUGGUUAAUUAGUUUUAGUCGGAUUUUGGUCCGUCUAACUAUUCCGCCUACUGUUGGUAAACUGUUCCUUGGACAGUGCUUAUAACACCGGUCGGCAGCGAUUCAGGUUCAGGCUCUUAUCCGACCCGUCUUGAAACACGGACCAAGGAGUUUAGCGUGUACGCAAGUCAUUGGGUGUAUAAAACCCAAAGGCGCAUG
rnacentral:rRNA from 1 species